UGCAGACGGAGGCACAGGACGUGGACAGGGAGCAGGAUCCACCAUCGCUCAUCUCGUAAAAGCCUGGACGGAGCAGACAAGGCAGAUCAGCCUGACGAAGCGGCCAUCUCCCUGCACGGACACUAGGAUACCUGGAAUGGAAUUUCAGCCCAAGAGGGGCUGGCGGGAUAGGCUUCACCUCUGCCUGUGCUGCGUGCCUGCCCCUGUGUCCGGGAGGUCAGGGCGCCCUGGUACCUGAGCUGGGCCUGCUGUCGCUGUCCAGGGCCUCCCCUGAGGCUGUGCCCACAUCCAGCUGCAGCUUGCUAAUCUGCAGGUCCAGCUGGUCCAGGUGCGGUGGCGUCCUUUCACUCGGCCGCCUCUGGGUCCCUGGUGCCUGGGGAGCACAAACCUUUUGACUUUUCAAGAAGGCUUCGGCAGAGCUACCAGGGGAGAAGGUUCUCAGCAAUACAUGGAAAAUGUCAGCUUUACCUGGAAUAAAUGCAGCUUGAAAAUCGGCCUUCAGGAUCUUUUGUUUUGUUUUUGAGACAGGGUCUUGCUCUGUUGCCCAGGCUGGAGUGCAGUGGUGCGAUCACGGCUCACUGCAGCAUCGACCUCCCCGGGCUCAGGUGAUCCUCCCACCUCAGCCGCCCAAGUA